UACGGAGGGUGCAAGCGUUACCCGGAAUUACUGGGCGUAAAGGGCUCGUAGGCGGCCAACUAAGUCAGACGUGAAAUCCCUCGGCUUAACCGGGGAACUGCGUCUGAUACUGGAUGGCUUGAAUCCGGGAGAGGGAUGCGGAAUUCCAGGUGUAGCGGUGAAAUGCGUAGAUAUCUGGAGGAACACCGGUGGCGAAGGCGGCAUCCUGGACCGGCAUUGACGCUGAGGAGCGAAAGCCAGGGGAGCAAACGGG
rnacentral:rRNA from 1 species